UAUUACAAUUGUGUUAGUGUUGGAAUUAUCUCAUCCUUUUGUACUGGGGUUACGCGUGAAAAUUUCACUUAUUUAUAGUAACCCAAAUUCCUUACCCCUAAAUUUCAAUCUUCAGAAUCCAGUUUCCACGGCCGAGAAAACCCAAUUCGAAGCUUGAAAAAGUGCCUUCAGCAACCCCCGUGUUUUUCUUGCUGUUGGAUAAAUUCAUCUUUCCGCGUUACAAUAAUGUCGUUUCUAAGGAAAAUUAUCCUUAGAAGAGCCCACAAGAAGCGAGGACGAAAGAACUUGAAAAGAAAAUCUGUGCUUCUUGAAGGGAACGAGGAUUAUAACAGGCCCGCAAGAGCCGAGAGUAUAUACACUACGCAGGUACACACUCAUUAUGGUUUGACAAUGUUCAGCAAAACCCUUUAAUCAAUAUGGUUGCACCUAAUCUGUUCCACCUGCGAGAACCCAAUUGUAGCACUGUAACCUGUGUUCAGCGAACUUGAUGGUCACUUUUUGUUGCCAAACAUGAGAGAUGAAAGUUUAUGGUGGUUCUGUCGCAUUAUAAUGGGAUUUUUAUUUUUAUUUUAUCUGUUUCUAAUAUCCUUCCAAGGGUAAAUUUGAUAUAGUUUGAUAAGGCAGAGGAACGAGCGAUAUUUUGAUGCGGUAAAAUGGAUACAUGGAUUGUAUCAGGGACGGAGCCAGACAUUUUCUACUGUGGGGUCAAAAAUUAAGUAUGCUCGAAUGGCGCUCCAAGAGCGGUAGGCUUUAGUCAUUGGCCCUCGAGUGUCUUCUUCUAGCCUUGUCUAAUGUCCCAAGUUUCUAUCAUGUCAAAGCAUACUUGAGUUUUCGAAACACUAAAAAUGAAUAAAAUACGCAAAAAUAUAAGUCGGCGAAUAAACUAGAACAAGAAAUUUUUGAAAAAAAGGGGGGAGAUCACCUGACCCCAUGUGGGUCCGUCCAUGAAUUGUAUAUCCUGAGAACUUAUUAUGGAUUCAUUAUA